rnacentral:siRNA from 1 species
UGAAAGUGUUACUCCCUCCGUCUC